AGUCAAGCCUUCAGACGACUGCAGCUUGGUAACAUCUUGACAGCAAGCUCAUGAGAUCCUGAGCCGGAAGCACUGGCUAAAUUGUUCCUGACUAGACUAGAAUCUGUGAGCACAUAAUGGCUCCCAAGGACUGAGGAUCUUCAGCAAUCUAGAAGGCUGGAGAAGCAGGAACAGAUGUGUCCAGUGACUUCCACAGACCGGUGCUCCUGGAUGCUCCUGUGGCUCAUCUACCUCAAGCUGGGUGGUCCCUCUCUGCUGAGGACUGUUAGUGUAUGAAUCCCCCAAUUACUCAGUCAUGUGGCUCGGAUCAAGUAAGUCAAAAUUAUUUUUCUCUAUUAUGCAAAGAUAUGCUUUUCUACAAAGAAAGUGCUUGGGAAGGACAAAUAUGCUUAAAGUACUCUUCACAUAUGAAGAGAGGAAA